AUGGGCGGCGGGGGCAGUGACGGCGACGGCUACAGCGACUGGGCGGUGCUGCCCUGCCCUCCCCGCCUUGCCGAUGUUAGUCUUGCUCUGGUCGGGAAAGUUGGUUCCGGCAAGAGCGCAACCGCAAAUUGCAUACUUGGAGACGACGCAUUUGAAUCGAAGGACUCUUAUAGAGCUGUCACUGAAACUUGUCAGAAGAGAAGCAGGGAGUUCCACGAUGGCUGUGCGACCCGUACCGUGAAUGUCAUAGACACUCCGGGCCUAUUCGACAUGGAUAGUACAGCUGAAGAUGUUCAGAAAGAGAUAGCCAAGUGCAUGGACAUGGCCAAAGAUGGCUUCGAUGCUAUGCUUAUGGUCUUUUCAGCUCAGUCUCGGUUUUCUUGUGAAGAUGAGAAGGCAAUUGAGUCAAUCAAACUGCUCUUUGGCAAUGAAGUCCUUGAUCACAUGAUAUUAGUUUUCACACAUGGAGAUGUAGUAGGGGGCGAAAGCCGUUGGAAGAAAAAGUUAACUGACAGUGCCCCAGCAUAUCUCCAGGACAUGGUGGACCUAUUUGCAGACAGAGUUGUUCUCUUUGACAAUAACACCAGUGAUAUGCAGCAGCGCGAGUAUCAGCUCAAAAAUUUGUUCCGUGCGGUGGAUUUUGUCAUAUCAAGAAAUCAUGGCAGACCGUUCUGCAACCAGAUGUUCACUCAGAUUAAGGAAAUGCAUCCAGUAUCCAUAUCAAAUAAAGAGAUAUAUGAUGACUACCUUAAACAGAUAAGCAAGAUGGUGGAGGAAAAGUUAAACAGUACAAUUGCAAGGCUGGAAACCCAGCUGCACGAAGAGCAGAAAGAAAGGCAAGCCGUAGAGAACAGCUUGAGAGAAGAGAUUCAUGCACUGAAGGAUAGCCUGAAGAAGGCUGAAGAAGAGGCCAACAAAUCUAGCAGCAAAUGCAUCAUUCUGUAA
rnacentral:rRNA from 1 species